GCGAGGUACGUACGUAGUGAUCUUGGUUGAAAACCUUUGACAUGCUUGUGUUAAAAUCUAACUUUUAGAAAUUCAUAAACUUUCUACAUAGUUUCAUAUAUUAAAAGUUAAAACAAAACAAAAAAACGAAACGAAAUUAACCUAAUAUAUAGUUACAUAUACUGAAACAAAAGAAAUUAUUGAAAAUUGUUGUUUUAUCUUGGGACCUUGUGCAGUGGAUAUAUAAAAUCUGAUACAAAAGUGUGUUGUUUCUCCCCUUGACCUUGUGCAGUGGAAUCUCUUUGCUUUGCAGUGUUGUCUUCCAUGACUUGCUUCAAGAGAGACUUUUUUUCUGCUCGAGCAACUGUGAGCUUAUCCAGUUUCUGCUUCAACCGGGGUAAGAUCUUAGGUAAAGCCUUCUUGUAGUCUUGUCUCACACGUUCAAACAC
rnacentral:lncRNA from 1 species